UGUAAGCGUAUACCAAAGUUGUUGCAGUUAAAACGCUCGUAGUCGGAACUUGGCAGUUCCGGAUGUGUGCACGUCGUGUGCGCACUUCGCGGGGAUUGCUUUUGUGGUCUUGCGUAGGAUGAGGCACUUUUAUUAGUGAACGUCCGCACGCUGCCACUUUUUACUGUGAGAAAAUCAGAGUGCUCAAAGCAGGCAUUUGCCGUGAAUGUAUUAGCAUGGAAUAAUAGAAUAGGACUCGGUUCUAUUUUGUUGGUUUGUUGGGACUGAGUAAUGAUUAAGAGGGACAGUUGGGGGCAUUUGUAUUUCGGCGCUAGAGGUGAAAUUCUUAGAUUGCCGAAAGACAAACUGCUGCGAAAGCGUCUGCCAAGGAUGUUUUCAUUGA
rnacentral:rRNA from 1 species